GACGAACGCUGGCGGCGUGCCUAAUACAUGCAAGUCGAACGCAGUGGGGACGGGUGAGUAACACGUGGGUAACCUCCCAUCAGAGGGGAUAACACUUGGAAACAGGUGCUAAACCGAUACUGAUGGAUGGACCCGCGGUGCAUUAGCUAGUUGGUGAGGUAACGGCUCACCAAGGCCACGAUGCAUAGGCGGCCCGGGGGGGGGGUCGGCCACACCGGGAACGGGACAAGGCCCAGGAUCCGACGGGAGGCAGCAGGUGGGAAUCUUUGGCAAUGGACGAAAGGCUUAACGAGCCACGGCGCGUGAGUGAAGAAGGGUUUCGGGUCGUAAAACCCUGGUGGUAGGGAAGCGGUAUCUAACCAGGAAGCCACGGCUUACUACGGGCCAGCAGCCGCGGUAAUUC
rnacentral:rRNA from 1 species